UACGGAGGGUGCGAGCGUUGUCCGGAAUCAUUGGGCGUAAAGGGCGCGUAGGUGGCCUGCUAAGCGUGCGGUGAAAGCUCGGGGCUCAACCCCGAGUCGGCCGUGCGAACUGGUGGGCUUGAGCACUGCAGAGGCAGGCGGAAUUCCGGGUGUAGCGGUGGAAUGCGUAGAGAUCCGGAAGAACACCGGUGGCGAAGGCGGCCUGCUGGGCAGUAGCUGACACUGAGGCGCGACAGCGUGGGGAGCAAACAGG
rnacentral:rRNA from 1 species